UCUUUAUUUUUUUUAAAGACUACAGCAAAUCUAUGUAAUAACAUUAUUUUGGAGAAAACGGCGAGACAUGCGAGACAUUCAAAAAUAGAAUGGAAGUGAAGAAUCACAAGAGUCUAAAAACUUAUUUGGGGUCCUUGGGUGUCCUCAACGGUUCUUAAAUGGUGCUCUCCGCGUUCUUCACUGGCUCAAGGCCGCUCAACAAACGGCCGCAUUCACCAGGCUGCAUUCAGCUCCGUACGUGUCAUCUUUUAUGACCAGGCCUUGAAGAAUCUGAUAGAGACUGGUUGCCUUCGGCUCGUUGUUCGUCUCGCUAACGGGAGAUUUAUGUCUGCUCUCGAUCCAAUGUGCUCUCGAUUCAAAUGGUUUAUAUACAAACAUGAGAGAUGAGUAAAGGAGAAUUGGAAGAUCACGAGCAUGUACAACCGAUAUUCGUCUUUCCAUAGGACAUAAGAUUCCAAUAAAAAUGUAAAUUCCAUGAAGUUCCGCGGACCAACUGGCACGACAGCACAACUGAGCCGUCCUAUUUACUCGUCAAGAGAGAAAGUUGAAAAGAG